AGGAAAAAAAGGACUUGGGAUUACCUUGAAUUUGAAGAAGAAGAAGACAGACAACUGGCAGACUCUGUGGCUGCUCUGACAUACCUAGUCUUUGUUCAGGGCAUCGGUACCGACCAGCUUCCCAUGGUCUUAAGCCCUUCAUACCUUUUGCAGUUGAACAUGGAGCACAUUGAAGUGCUUCUGCAAAGAACAGAACAGUCUGUUUACUCCAAAGGCUUGGAACUGCUGGAGACUAGCUUAUUGAGAUUAGAAGACAACAGCCUAUGUUAUCAGUACCUAGAAAUCAAGAGUUUCCUUGCUGUGCCUCAGGGCUUAGUCAAAGUCAUGACACUCUGUCCCAUUGAGACACUGGUAUGUAUGAUUUGGGGUAACUGGUGAGUUACAGUAAG
rnacentral:lncRNA from 1 species